GAUGAACGCUGGCGGCGUGCCUAAUACAUGCAAGUCGAGCGAACAGACGAGAGUGCUUGCACUCUCUGACGUUAGCGGCGGACGGGUGAGUAACACGUGGGUAACCUACCUAUAAGACUGGGAUAACUUCGGGAAACCGGAGCUAAUACCGGAUAAUAUUUAGCUUCGCAUGAAGCAAUAGUGAAAGACGGUUCUGCUGUCACUUAUAGAUGGACCCGCGGUGUAUUAGCUAGUUGGUGAGGUAACGGCUCACCAAGGCAACGAUACAUAGCCGACCUGAGAGGGUGAUCGGCCGCACUGGGACUGAGACACGGCCCAGACUCCUACGGGAGGCAGCAGUAGGGAAUCUUCCGCAAUGGACGAAAGUCUGACGGAGCAAUGCCGCGUGAGUGAAGAAGGUUUUCGGAUCCUAAAACUCUGUUGUAAGGGAAGAACAAGUACGUUAGUAACUGAACGUACCUUGACGGUACCUUACCAGAAAGCCACGGCUAACUACGUG
rnacentral:rRNA from 1 species